CCUACGGGCGGCUGCAGUGGGGAAUAUUGCACAAUGGGCGCAAGCCUGAUGCAGCCAUGCCGCGUGUGUGAAGAAGGCCUUCGGGUUGUAAAGCACUUUCAGCGGGGAGGAAGGCGUUAAGGUUAAUAACCUUGUCGAUUGACGUUACCCGCAGAAGAAGCACCGGCUGACUCCGUGCCAGCAGCCGCGGUAAUACGGAGGGUGCAAGCGUUAAUCGGAAUUACUGGGCGUAAAGCGCACGCAGGCGGUCUGUCAAGUCGGAUGUGAAAUCCCCGGGCUCAACCUGGGAACUGCAUUCGAAACUGGCAGGCUAGAGUCUUGUAGAGGGGGGUAGAAUUCCAGGUGUAGCGGUGAAAUGCGUAGAGAUCUGGAGGAAUACCGGUGGCGAAGGCGGCCCCCUGGACAAAGACUGACGCUCAGGUGCGAAAGCGUGGGGAGCAAACAGGAUUAGAUACCCGGGUAGUC
rnacentral:rRNA from 1 species